ensembl:lncRNA
GGUGGAGCCUCCACCUCUCUUAGACCUCAUUUAAGGACUGACUGCCACUGAGGAAGGAUCUCUUUCUGGAGUUCCCUCUUUGGUGAAGCUUUCACCUGUGCACCUAGAAUCUUCUGAUACAGGCAGGUGGAUCCCAGCCAAGCCCACAGUCACACCAUUAUUUUGGACAUUGGUUAUCAGCAAUGCACACAGAAAAGCUGGGUUAGGAGUGCAGCUUUCAGAAGAAACAGUACUGAUAAACCUGGAAAUACCCUCAGACCUCCUAUGACACAGGAACAACACGACUGGCUUUUGCAGGCUGUUAUGGACAAAGAUAGCACUUGGCAGGGAGGGGAGCUGAACAAGAGCCAUAGCAGAAUCCCAAUUCAGUGGCAAACCAAGACCCUUUAUAUGAUUAUGACAAUGAAAAGAAUUCUGGACAACGUGUGCAAGCUAUUAUGCACAGACUAGAAGAGCUGAGCUGGGAGUCCACCAGGUAUUUUGCCAUCCCCAGCCAGACCAAACUUGAAGGAACGGAUAGAGGUCCUGCAGUCCACUGAUCACUGGGGAGGGAAUAUCAGUUUGUGUCCUGCUCAGGAAUUGUAUCUGCACUGAAAUAGAAGAUAAAACCUUAGAAACCUUGUUGGUGUUUGAUGCUACUGAUGUUUGUCACUAAAUGUGGGAUAUGUAGGUAUUUGAGGCCAGGUUGGAUGGGGGCCUUGGGCAACCUGAUCUGGUGCCUGAUUUUGUGGCUGGCAA